UCACUUCUGAAGAGUCCCAUACUAAGACGAAACGGCCGUCCAGUGC
rfam:Schistosoma margrebowiei strain Zambia genome assembly, scaffold: SMRZ_contig0006158